rnacentral:rRNA from 1 species
CAGGAUGAACGCUGGCGGCGUGCCUAAUACAUGCAAGUCGAGCGAACGGACGAGAAGCUUGCUUCUCUGAUGUUAGCGGCGGACGGGUGAGUAACACGUGGAUAACCUACCUAUAAGACUGGGAUAACUUCGGGAAACCGGAGCUAAUACCGGAUAAUAUUUUGAACCGCAUGGUUCAAAAGUGAAAGACGGUCUUGCUGUCACUUAUAGAUGGAUCCGCGCUGCAUUAGCUAGUUGGUAAGGUAACGGCUUACCAAGGCAACGAUGCAUAGCCGACCUGAGAGGGUGAUCGGCCACACUGGAACUGAGACACGGUCCAGACUCCUACGGGAGGCAGCAGUAGGGAAUCUUCCGCAAUGGGCGAAAGCCUGACGGAGCAACGCCGCGUGAGUGAUGAAGGUCUUCGGAUCGUAAAACUCUGUUAUUAGGGAAGAACAUAUGUGUAAGUAACUGUGCACAUCUGACGGUACCUAAUCAGAAAGCCACGG